rnacentral:rRNA from 1 species
AUCAAGGCUGAGGCGUGAUGACGAGGCACUACGGUGCUGAAGCAACAAAUGCCCUGCUUCCAGGAAAAGCCUCUAAGCAUCAGGUAACAUCAAAUCGUACCCCAAACCGACACAGGUGGUCAGGUAGAGAAUACCAAGGCGCUUGAGAGAACUCGGGUGAAGGAACUAGGCAAAAUGGUGCCGUAACUUCGGGAGAAGGCACGCUGAUAUGUAGGUGAAGCGACUUGCUCGUGGAGCUGAAAUCAGUCGAAGAUACCAGCUGGCUGCAACUGUUUAUUAAAAACACAGCACUGUGCAAACACGAAAGUGGACGUAUACGGUGUGACGCCUGCCCGGUGCCGGAAGGUUAAUUGAUGGGGUUAGCGGUAACGCGAAGCUCUUGAUCGAAGCCCCGGUAAACGGCGGCCGUAACUAUAACGGUCCUAAGGUAGCGAAAUUCCUUGUCGGGUAAGUUCCGACCUGCACGAAUGGCGUAAUGAUGGCCAGGCUGUCUCCACCCGAGACUCAGUGAAAUUGAACUCGCUGUGAAGAUGCAGUGUACCCGCGGCAAGACGGAAAGACCCCGUGAACCUUUACUAUAGCUUGACACUGAACAUUGAGCCUUGAUGUGUAGGAUAGGUGGGAGGCUUUGAAGUGUGGACGCCAGUCUGCAUGGAGCCGGCCUUGAAAUACCACCCUUUAAUGUUUGAUGUUCUAACGUUGGCCCCUGAUCGGGGUUGCGGACAGUGUCUGGUGGGUAGUUUGACUGGGGCGGUCUCCUCCUAAAGAGUAACGGAGGAGCACGAAGGUUGGCUAAUCCUGGUCGGACAUCAGGAGGUUAGUGCAAUGGCAUAAGCCAGCUUGACUGCGAGCGUGACGGCGCGAGCAGGUGCGAAAGCAGGUCAUAGUGAUCCGGUGGUUCUGAAUGGAAGGGCCAUCGCUCAACGGAUAAAAGGUACUCCGGGGAUAACAGGCUGAUACCGCCCAAGAGUUCAUAUCGACGGCGGUGUUUGGCACCUCGAUGUCGGCUCAUCACAUCCUGGGGCUGAAGUAGGUCCCAAGGGUAUGGCUGUUCGCCAUUUAAAGUGGUACGCGAGCUGGGUUUAGAACGUCGUGAGACAGUUCGGUCCCUAUCUGCCGUGGGCGCUGGAGAACUGAGGGGGGCUGCUCCUAGUACGAGAGGACCGGAGUGGACGCAUCACUGGUGUUCGGGUUGUCAUGCCAAUGGCACUGCCCGGUAGCUAAAUGCGGAAGAGAUAAGUGCUGAAAGCAUCUAAGCACGAAACUUGCCCCGAGAUGAGUUCUCCCUGAGACUUAGAGUCUCCUGAAGGAACGUUGAAGACGACGACGUUGAUAGGCCGGGUGUGUAAGCGCAGCGAUGCGUUGAGCUAACCGGUACUAAUGAACCGUGAGGCUUAACCUUACAA